rnacentral:lncRNA from 1 species
GGAGGGUAACAGGAGGGGCGUCUGGGUGAAGACAGGCACCUGUGGUUCCUUUCUCUCUCUGGCCGGGGUCUCCGUUUUCACUGAAUCCCUUGUGGACCCCGAAGGGACCAAACACAUUCUACCGGCUGGUGACUGAAGUCCUCACACGCCUGUGCUGCGUUUGCUAUUUCAAAGCAUGAAAUACAGAGUCUUGUGUGGAGAGCAUUUUUCUUUGCCUUCAAAAUGUUUAAACGGUGAGGAAGGUUCGUGGGGAAGGUCAUGAAGAUGUUGGAAUUCAUCAUGCAUUCGACUUUAAAACGUUCUUCAAGGGCUGCCCUGUCGCCGAGUGGUUAAGUUCGCGCUCCGCUUCCGCCACCCAGGGUUUUCUGGUUCGGAUCCUGGGCGUGGACAUGGCACUGCUCAUCAGGCCAUGUUGAGGUGGCAUCCCACAUGCCACAACUAGAAGGACCCACAACUAAAAUAUACAACUAUGUACUGGGAGGAUUUGGGGAGAAAAAGCAGAAAAUAUAAAAAGAAGAUUGGCAACAGUUGUUAGCUCAGGUGCCAAUCUUUAAAAGAAAAAGAAAAAAACAUUCGUCAAACACUAUCAUUAGAAAUUAAAGGAACAUGAUUAAACUUCUCAGGAAACUUGCUAAAAAGAUACAUUUUCAUUUUAUUUUUAGAACCAAUCCUUAGAGUGAAGAAGUCUUAUUUUGCAUGUGGUCUUGUUACUUAGGAACGUUUGAAAAUAGCGCUGACAACUCUCUGGAGAACUGGAAUCCCAUCCCCGUGGAAGGAGAAGAAGGUUUGCUCUGACAAUCCCACUCAAACGACGCAGCUCGAGUUUCUCCUCUCUCCUCAAGCUGCUGUUCCGGGGUGAGGUGGUGCCUGCAUCCAGGGUCAAGAAUGUAGCGCUCUGCUGUGAUUUACUGCUGAAUGUCACCCAGUCACAGAAUCCUACUCCAGAGUAGGAAGAGCCCAGCGUGCAGCACAGAGUGGUCCUCUCAGUCUGGACUUUGUGGUGUGGAAGAGCGGAGAUGCUUUUCUUCAAAAACACAAAAUAUUGCAGAGACAGCCACAGUCACAGACCGACCCACAUCUCAUUCCCUCCCUCCUCUACUGAAGCUAUUCUGCGUCAUUCCCAUGCAAAGUUUUGAACUUUAGUGAUAAAUGCAUGUCUCUAUAUGCA